rnacentral:lncRNA from 1 species
AACCUAUCCUGUCUGCGAGCUGUUAGGCAAGUUACCAAUUUCUCUGCACUUUAGGGUUUUCAAAAUCUUGGUAAGUAGGCAUAAUAAUAAUCACCUCAGAGGGUUACUGUAAGGGAUAAAUGAGCUAAUAGAGGCCAGGUGUGGUGGCUCACGCCUGUAAUCCCAGCACUUUGGGAGGACAAGGUGGGUGGAUCACAAGGUCAGGAGUUCGAGACCAGCCUGAACAACAUGGUAAAACCCCAGCUCUACAAAAAUGCAAAAAUUAGCCGGGCCUGGUGGCACAUACCUGUAAUCCCAACUACUCGGGAGACUGAGACAGGAGAAUCGCUUGAACCCAGGAGGUGAACUUUGCAGUGAGCUGAAAUCACACCACUACACUCCAGCCUGGGCAACAGAGCGAGCUGUCUCUCAAAAAAAAAAAAACACAUAAAAAUCUAGAUUUGAACUUCUAGCUCAAUUGUUGUUGUGGCAAAAAUUGGCUGGAAUUGAGUAAUGGGUAUUUCUUAU